GGCCAGUUAGUUCAGUCAGUUGAGCGUGGCACUAACAAUGCCAAGGUUGCGGGUUCGAUUCCCAUUUGGUCC
rnacentral:tRNA from 1 species